rnacentral:rRNA from 1 species
UACCAGCUCUCCGAGUGGUAGGGAUGUUUAUUGGGCUUAAAGCGUCCGUAGCCGGCUUAGCAAGUCUCCUGUUAGAUUCAGCGACCUAAUCGUUGAGCCGCGGGAGAUACUACUAGGCUAGGAGGCGGGAGAGGUCAACGGUACUUCCGGGGUAGGGGUGAAAUCCUAUAAUCCCGGGAGGACCACCAGUGGCGAAGGCUGUUGACUAGAACGCGCUCGACGGUGAGGGACGAAAGCUGGGGGAGCGAACCGGAUUAGAUACCCGGGUAGUCCCAGCUGUAAACGAUGCGAGCUAGGUGUUGGGGUGGCUACGUGCCACUUCAGUGCCGCAGGGAAGCCAUUAAGCUCGCCGCCUGGGGAGUACGGCCGCGAGGCUGAAACUUAAAGGAAUUGGCGGGGAGCACCACAAGGCGUGAAGCUUGCGGUUC